GAACUGCUGGAGAAGAAUUCGAGGUGAGGCUGUCGGGUGGGCGGGGGCUCGGCGAUGCGCUCUGCACCGCCGUGGGGUUUGAAAGGACAGGAGGGCGAAGGACAGAGGAAGUGGAGGGGGCCGUGGAAGGCGGAGGGUGCUCCGGGCCCACCAGGAUCUCGAAAAAGGUCGAGCAGCAGGUGGUUUUGGUGGCUGGUGCCUUCUGGGAAUGGAGCACAGCACCCUCCGAUCCGUGCCUUCAAGCUCGUGCGCCGCAGGUCCUGUGGCUCGCUCCUCGACCUUAAGACUUGGCGAUUUUUGCGAGCCGAUGAAAAUGCCAUGAGAAGGAAUUGAGAGAAGGCCAGAUUCAUGUUUACAUGCUGCUACUGCCGAUGUCACAGCUUUUGGAUUCUUAUUAGAUUGAACUACCGGUGAUAAUAAACUGAAAAAAAUCUAAAAUAUUUAGAGCUUACAAUCGUUUUACUGGCCUCCUAGAAAUAGUUGAAUAUAUUGACUGAUUAUUCUGUAUUUGUCAGGCAGUCCAUUAAAACUAUAGUGGAAUACAAAACGGAGAUGUUGUAAACUUCAUAAGACAUAGACACAUGAUUGUAAGUGUUUGCACAUUUUUUCUAUAGCUGGGCAAAUGAUUGAUUC